rnacentral:snoRNA from 1 species
GGGAUGAUGGUGGGAACUUUAUAUUGUCUUAAAGAGUGGUGAUGACUUAAAAAGCAUCUCAGUAGGAUUAUGCUGAGGCCC